GGCCUGGUGGUCUAGUAGUAUGAUUCCUUGUUAGGGCGAUAGUCAAUAUCGAGGAGGUCCCGGGUUCAAUUCCCGGCCAGGCCC